rnacentral:rRNA from 1 species
UUACGCUGUUAUCCCUAAGGUAAUUUAUUUUAACAUUCUAAAUUUUAGGUUUAAGAAUUCAUUAAUUAAUGUUUUAUUAUUAUAAAAGUUUAUAAAAUUAAAAAAUUACCCCAAUUAAAUAUUAAUUAAAAUUUAUAUUAUUAAUAAUUAUAAUUUUAAUUUUAGUUAAUAUAAAAUUCUAUAGGGUCUUCUCGUCUUUUAAUAAUAUUCAAGAAGUUUAACUUAAAAUUUAAUUUUAAUUUUAAUUUUAUUUUAUAAAGUUUAUAUUCCAUUUAAUCUUUCUUUCUAGUUUUUAAUUAAAAAACUAAUUAUUAUGCUACCUUUGUACAGUUAUUGAUACUGCAGCCAUUUAAAAUUAACAGUAGGCAGAUUAGACUUAAAAUUAUUUUCAAUAAGACAUGUUUUUGUUAAACAGGCG